GAUGAACGCUGGCGGCGUGCCUAAUACAUGCAAGUCGAGCGAACAGACGAGGAGCUUGCUCCUCUGACGUUAGCGGCGGACGGGUGAGUAACACGUGGAUAACCUACCUAUAAGACUGGGAUAACUUCGGGAAACCGGGGCUAAUACCGGAUAAUAUAUUGAACCGCAUGGUUCAAUAGUGAAAGACGGUUUUGCUGUCACUUAUAGAUGGAUCCGCGCCGCAUUAGCUAGUUGGUAAGGUAACGGCUUACCAAGGCAACGAUGCGUAGCCGACCUGAGAGGGUGAUCGGCCACACUGGAACUGAGACACGGUCCAGACUCCUACGGGAGGCAGUAGUAGGGAAUCUUCCGCAAUGGGCGAAAGCCUGACGGAGCAACGCCGCGUGAGUGAUGAAGGUCUUCGGAUCGUAAAACUCUGUUAUUAGGGAAGAACAAAUGUGUAAGUAACUAUGCACGUCUUGACGGUACCUAAUCAGAAAGCCACGGCUAACUACGUG
rnacentral:rRNA from 1 species